rnacentral:rRNA from 1 species
CGUAGGUGCGAGCGUUGUCCGGAAUUAUUGGGCGUAAAGAGCUUGUAGGCGGUUUGUCGCGUCUGCCGUGAAAUCCGGGGCUCAACUCCGGACUUGCGGUGGGUACGGGCAGACUAGAGUGUGGUAGGGGAGACUGGAAUUCCUGGUGUAGCGGUGAAAUAGCGCAGAUAUCAGGAGGAACACCGAUGGCGAAGGCAGGUCUCUGGGCCACUACUGACGCUGAGAAGCGAAAGCGUGGGGGAGGCGAACAGGAUU